rnacentral:rRNA from 1 species
UACGUAGGUGGCAAGCGUUAUCCGGAUUUAUUGGGCGUAAAGGGAACGCAGGCGGCCUGCUAAGUCUGGAGUGAAAGGUACCGGCUCAACCGGUACAGGCUCUGGAAACUGGCGGGCUAGAGAGCAGGAGAGGGCGGUGGAACUCCAUGUGUAGCGGUAAAAUGCGUAGAUAUAUGGAAGAACACCAGUGGCGAAGGCGGCUUACUGGACUGUAACUGACGUUGAGGCUCGAAAGCGUGGGGAGCAAACAGG